GAUGUUGGCUCAGAAGCAGCCAUACAUUCAAAGAGUGCGUAAUAGCUCACUAGUCGAGAGGUCCUGCGCCGAAAAUGAACCGGGGCUAAACACGACACCGAAGCUCAGGAAUCCGAAAGGAUUGGUAGAGGAGCAUUGCUGAAGCGACGAAGCAGUACCGAAAGGAGCUGUGGAGUUUCAGGAAGAGAGAAUGCCGGAAUGAGUAGCGAGAGAAAGGUGAGAAUCCUUUCGGCCGAAUAUCCAAGGUUUCCAGGGUAAAGCUGAUCUGCCCUGGGUAAGUCGGGGCCUAAGGCGAGGCAGAAAUGCGUAGUCGAUGGACAGCAGGUUGAGAUUCCUGCACCCGUAAUGAACAGAACUGUAGUGACACGGAAGGUAAGACAGAGCCGGGAAUGAGAAAACCGGUGCAAGCACAAUAGAUGUGUGGGAGGAAAAACCCCCGCAUAAGUCGAAGGUGUGACGCGGACCGAAAAAGAGUAGGGAAGCUGUUAAGCAAGCCGUCAAGAAAAGCUGCUAUUGUUUCAUUAUGGCCCGUACCGUAAACCGACACAGGUGGAUGGGGAGAGAAUCCUAAGGCCGGCGGAAGAAGUAUUGUUAAGGAACUCGGCAAAAUGACCCCGUAACUUCGGGAGAAGGGGUGCCUGCGAGAGCAGGCCGCAGAGAAGAGGCCCAAGCAACUGUUUAGCAAAAACACAGGUCUAUGCAAAACCGAAAGGUGAGGUAUAUGGGCUGACGCCUGCCCGGUGCUGGAAGGUUAAGGGGAGUGGUCAGGAAACGAAGCCACGAACUUAAGCCCCAGUAAACGGCGGCCGUAACUAUAACGGUCCUAAGGUAGCGAAAUUCCUUGUCGGGUAAGUUCCGACCCGCACGAAAGGCGUAAUGAUUUGGGCGCUGUCUCGACAAUACAUCCGGUGAAAUUGAAGUGCCAGUGAAGAUGCUGGCUACCUGCGCCAGGACGGAAAGACCCCAUGGAGCUUUACUCCAGCUUGAUACUGGGACCCGGUAUUGCAUGUACAGGAUAGGUGGGAGGCUAGGAAAUGUGGACGCCAGUCUGCAUGGAGCCGCCGUUGGGAUACCACCCUUGUGGUGCUGGGUUUCUAACCAGAGGCCGUGAACCGGUCUGGGGACAAUGUCAGGUGGGGAGUUUGACUGGGGCGGUCGCCUCCGAAAGGGUAUCGGAGGCGCCCAAAGGUUCCCUCAGAAUGGUUGGAAACCAUUCGAAGAGUGCAAAGGCAGAAGGGAGCUUGACUGCGACACCGACGGGUGGAGCAGGUACGAAAGUAGGGCUUAGUGAUCCGGUGGUAUUAAGUGGGAAUGCCAUCGCUCAACGGAUAAAAGCUACCCUGGGGAUAACAGGCUGAUCACUCCCAAGAGUUCACAUCGACGGAGUGGUUUGGCACCUCGAUGUCGGCUCAUCGCAUCCUGGGGCUGUAGCAGGUCCCAAGGGUUGGGCUGUUCGCCCAUUAAAGCGGUACGCGAGCUGGGUUCAGAACGUCGUGAGACAGUUCGGUCCCUAUCCGGCGUGGGCGUAGGAUAUCUGAGAGGAGCUGUCCUUAGUACGAGAGGACCGGGAUGGACUGACCUCUGGUGUACCGGUUGGCGAUCAACGCCACGGCCGGGUAGCCAUGUCGGGACGGGAUAAACGCUGAAGGCAUCUAAGCGUGAAGCCCCCCUCAAGAUGAGAUAUCCCAUCGUAAGAGUAAGACCCCUUGAAGACGACGAGGUUGAUAGGGCAGGGGUGGAAGUGCUGUAAGGCAUGGAGCUGACUGCUACUAAUCGGUCGAGGGCUUGACCAA
rnacentral:rRNA from 1 species